UACAGAGGUUUCAAGCGUUGUUCGGAUUCAUUGGGCGUAAAGGGUGCGUAGGCGGCGCGGUAAGUCGGGUGUGAAAUCUCGGAGCUUAACUCCGAAACUGCAUUCGAUACUGCCGUGCUUGAGGACUGGAGAGGAGACUGGAAUUUACGGUGUAGCGGUGAAAUGCGUAGAUAUCGGAAGGAAGACCAGUGGCGAAGGCGGGUCUCUGGACAGUUCCUGACGCUGAGGCACGAAGGUCAGGGGAGCAAACGGG
rnacentral:rRNA from 1 species